AUUGGACGCUGGCGGCAUGCCUUACACAUGCAAGUCGAACGGUAACAGGUCUUCGGAUGCUGACGAGUGGCGAACGGGUGAGUAAUACAUCGGAACGUGCCUAGUAGUGGGGGAUAACUACUCGAAAGAGUGGCUAAUACCGCAUGAGAUCUACGGAUGAAAGCAGGGGAUCGCAAGACCUUGCGCUACUAGAGCGGCCGAUGGCAGAUUAGGUAGUUGGUGGGAUAAAAGCUUACCAAGCCGACGAUCUGUAGCUGGUCUGAGAGGACGAUCAGCCACACUGGGACUGAGACACGGCCCAGACUCCUACGGGAGGCAGCAGUGGGGAAUUUUGGACAAUGGGCGCAAGCCUGAUCCAGCAAUGCCGCGUGCAGGAUGAAGGCCUUCGGGUUGUAAACUGCUUUUGUACGGAACGAAAAGCCCUGGGUUAAUACCCUGGGGUCAUGACGGUACCGUAAGAAUAAGCACCGGCUGACUACGUGCCAGCCGCCGCCGUAA
rnacentral:rRNA from 1 species